rnacentral:rRNA from 1 species
CUGGCUCAGGAUUAACGCUGGCGGCGUGCCUAAUACAUGCAAGUCGAAUGGUAGCAAUACCAUGGCGAACGGGUGAGUAACACGUAGGUAACCUGUCUUUAAGUCGAGGAUAACCAUUGGAAACGAUGGAUAAUACUGGAUAGGACAUUUGAAGGCAUCUUUAGAUGUUUAAAGAUUUAUCACUUAGAGAGGGGCCUGCGGCGCAUUAGCUAGUUGGUGAGGUGAAGGCUUACCAAGGCGAUGAUGCGUAGCCGGACUGAGAGGUUGAACGGCCACAAUGGAACUGAGAACGGUCCAUACUCCUACGGGAGGCAGCAGUAGGGAAUUUUCGGCAAUGGGCGGAAGCCUGACCGAGCAACGCCGCGUGAACGAAGAAGUAUUUCGGUAUGUAAAGUUCUUUUAUUAGGGACGAAAAGACAGAUUGACGGUACCUAAUGAAUAAGCUCCGGCUAACUACGUGCCAGCCGCUGC